GAUGAAGAACGCAGUGAAAUGCGAUAGGUAAUGUGAAUUGCAGAAUUCAGUGAAUCAUCGAAUCUUUGAACGCACAUUGCGCCCGCCAGUAUUCUGGCGGGCAUGCCUGUUCGAGCGUCAUUACAACCCUCAGGCCCCCGGGCCUGGCGUUGGGGAUCGGCGGAAGCCCCCUGCGGGCACAACGCCGUCCCCCAAAUACAGUGGCGGUCCCGCCGCAGCUUCCAUUGCGUAGUAGCUAACACCUCGCAACUGGAGAGCGGCGCGGCCACGCCGUAAAACACCCAACUUCUGAAUGUUGACCUCGAAUCAGGUAGGAAUACCCGCUGAACUUAAGCAUAUCAAUAAGCGGAGGA
rnacentral:misc_RNA from 1 species